ACACAUAGCGGCUGCCAAGUGCGGCCGCGAUUCCCUCUCCUCUCACAUGCAACUGCUAUACCUGGGUUGCAGUGAGUGACAGAAGAGGACCACACUGGGUGCCGGGAUGUCUGCGCUGUACUCCCCCAGUGACCCGGAGCAACGAAGCAGCAACAGCAGCAGCCUCUCAGCCUCUUUGGGGCAGAUGUUCCCCUGUCUCUGAGAUCCCAGCCCCCCGAGUCUGCAGCAGGUGGCUGGGGAUCAGAGACAGCGGGUAGGUGGGUGUCCGACACUUAGCACCAGACUCUGGCCUCAGCAGCAGUGCCGAAUCUAAAGCAGGUCGUGUAGGAAUUAAUGUGCUCGGUACUCUACUCGCAUGCCUGGGGGCUCUGCUCCAUACUCUCCUAGCUCAGCCCAGGCUGCUACAAGGUGAAUGGGCGCUGACUGCAGCACCAGCUGAAUGAAGAUGGUGGCUGAGGGCAUGAUCUUUCCCAUCACAAUCAAAUACCUGUUGGGGCACUGGCAGCAGACAGCAGCAGCACGUAGGAAGGAGCCCUGGAGGACUCACCGAGGAGGAGCGGAGACAUGCGCACCAGCUGAAGAGACGCGAGGGAGCGUCUCUAGGACGUAAAUUAAAUAAAAAUUUGGACAAAUUAAUUACAAGCCUUUGGAAGAUUUAUAUUAACCAUCAGAUGGUCGCAAAUAGGAAGAUUCAUUAAAUACUACAAAACCAUGGAAGUUAAUUAUACAUAAUAAUUCUUAGUAA